ACAAAUUCAUAAAUUUGUUGGUUAGGAAAGGGAAUUUGCCAGCUUCCUCUGUAUAUUUUUUUCCUGCAUACUACACGCCCAUAGAGCUAUAUCUUUGUGUAAUGGCUGAAGAGAGGAAGGAUAAUGGCCAGCUGCUCUGGACAGGAGUGGAGCGAGAGGGGCCUACCUCCAGCGUGCAGCUAUGAGGUUCUUUAUAGUAAAGAAUUUGCUUCUCAGUAAAGCUCUUUAUUCUUUGCAACAGGUUGGUGAGAAAUACAAGAAACUAGUGAUAGCCAAGGUUGGUGACCAGAUACCAUUAUCUCAGCACUUACGACCUUGAGGCAAAAGGAUCACUGUGAGUUCAAGGCCAUCCUGAAUUACAUGGAUUUACAAGCAAGAACUAAACCACUUGCAGGUGAGUGUGGAUAAUCCUGUCUCCAUCCAUGUGAAGAUGAAGGAAAACGUGGUCCCUUCCCCUUACUCUAACGAGGAGGCUCUGCCUCUCGAAACAGCUUUGGCAGAGGUUGUGCAGCAGCUGCCAUGGAGGUAUGAGCACCCACCAGUGUUAAUCUUCUGCAAGGAUAUUAGAGACAUAAUGAGGAAAGCCAGAGUGUCACAUUCAUGUUUUUCAUAAGGAAGCCAUCUUUAUCCAGAGCCCCAG